GACGAACGCUGGCGGCGUGCUUAACACAUGCAAGUCGAACGGAAAGGCCCUGCUUUUGUGGGGUUCUCGAGUGGCGAACGGGUGAGUAACACGUGAGUAACCUGCCCCUGACUUUGGGAUAACUUCAGGAAACUGGGGCUAAUACCGGAUAGGAGCUCCUGCUGCAUGGUGGGGGUUGGAAAGGUUCGGCGGUUGGGGAUGGACUCGCGGCUUAUCAGCUUGAUGGGGGGGUAGUGGCUUACCAAGGCUUUGACGGGUAGCCGGCCUGAGAGGGUGGCCGGGCACAUUGGGACUGAGGUAGGGCGCAGAAUCGAACGGGAGGCAACAGUGGGGAAUAUUACACAAUGGGCGGGGGGCUGAUGAAGCAACGCCGCGUGCGGGAAGACGGCAUGCGGGUUGUAAACCGCUUUCGCCUGUGCCGAAGCGUGAGUGACGGUAAUGGGUAAAGAAGCACCGGCUAACUACGUG
rnacentral:rRNA from 1 species